CUAUGCUCUCUCGUGCACGCGGAGCUCGGUGCCGGUGGGACAGACUGAGGACACCCGGGGACUCGAGCUCAUCUUCGGCCACUGUUCCGCUCAAGUCGUCGCAGAGCUCCGGGAAGAUGUCUGUGAGGAGUCCGCACCGGGAAACCAGCAGCUAGCGGCCGCUUUCAGAGUGUCGCCCGUCGGAUGUUGAGUUAGAAAGUUUCGCUGCGGGGAUAAGAAGAAGCAGAGGGACCGGUGUCCUCUCACGUCAACAGCCCCGUCUCCCUCCUCCAUCCUCCCGCUGUGACUGUAAGCACGACCCGGGAGGAGCUGGGAGUUUGAUCCGGUUGUUUUUUCACCACUUGUCCUUGUGUGUUGGGACUUUUCUGAGCCAUGUUGUGGAGCAGGUGCCUGGUCCUGCUGCUCUGCUGGGGGGCCAGCGGCGGCGAGCAGCAGGCGGAUGAGAGGGACGGAGCCUCGGCCGAGCUCCGGACGGACUCACGGAGACAGCGGUCCCCUCCGCCGGUGGAGCCCCUGGACUUUGGGUUCGUGCCAGCGGCGGUGUAUGACACCCACGCUUACUACGAGCCGGGGCCCGUAGGGAUCCUCUUCCACAUGGUCCACGCAUUUCUCUACGUGGUUCAGCCGAACUUCUUCCCCAAAGAUAUGAUUGUUAAAAUCAUUCAGCAAAACAUGGGGGGAAUCAAAAUACAGGAAUGGAGAAAGCCAGAUAACGUCGUCCUGUUGCUACAGUGGAUCUACUACGAGGCUGGAUUCCUCAUAUGUUCCACCAUCGGUAUCUUGUUCAUGGUGCUCACCCCGAUCAUCGGCAUGUGUUUCUGUGUGUGUCGAUGCUGCGAGAACUGCGGAGGGGAGAUGCACCAGAGACAGAGGAAGAACGCCGACUGUCAGAGGGGUUUCUACACCGCCUCGCUCCUCGCCUCCUCCAUCUUCAUCAUUUUGGGGGUACUUGUUGCAUAUGCUGCCAACCAUAAUGUCAGCAUGCAGAUCAAGAGCACUCGCCGAUUAAUUAAUACCAACAUCAGGGACCUGAAGACAUUCGCUAACAACACACCUGCGCAAAUUGACUACCUGACAGCUCAGUACACCACAGCAAAGAACAAAGUCCUGUCCGACCUCGACAACAUCGGGCCGCUGUUGGGCGGGAGGAUCCACAGUCAGCUGGAGAAGGAGGUGGUGCCGUCACUGGACAAUGCCCUGCGUAUGGUCGGAGCAAAAGUUGAGGGGGCCAUCAAAGCCAUGCGGGAAACCAAGGAGGCCCUGGAGAACGUCAGCUCCUCCCUGGAGGUGCUUCAGGAGGGGACGGGGAAACUUCAGGCCAGCCUGUCGGGGGAGCGGGCCUCUCUGUCCAACACCCUGUCCGACCCCGCCUGCACUAACGGAGCCGUCUCUCACACCUGCAACACCAUCCGAUCCACGCUGUCCCAGCUGGGGGUCAAUGCAAACUACAUAGGGCUUCCAGAUGUCAAUCACGCUUUGGCCAAUGUCCAAACAGUCCUGAGAACAGAUCUCAGCAACAUUGUACAAAAGGGUUACUCAUCCUUUAACGACACCCCGAGUCUGGUUAAAGAGCAAACUAAAAAUAUUGUCUCAGCUCUUCCUCGAGUGAAGGGGAUGUUGGAUAAGAUCGGCACAGAGAUCAACAACUUCGCCAAGAUGUUCCCAGUGGAAGCGUCUUUGGCCAAUUUCACCACUUUCCUCAGUGAAGGGCAGAACAACAUCGAGGCCUUUUACCCACAGAUCGACCAGUUUGAUUUCUACAGGUGGAUUGGCUGUGUGGCAGCGCUUUGCCUGGUCGUCUUGAUCUUGGCCUUCAACAUCCUCGGACUGUUCUGCGGCACCUGUGGCUACGAUAAGCAGGCCUCACCCACAACCAGAGGAUGCCUAUCAAACACCGGUGGCAACCUGCUAAUGGCUGGGGUGGGCUUCUCUUUCCUCUUUUCCUGGUUGCUGAUGGGCGUCGUGACCACGUUGUUUGUUGUUAGCGGCAACGUGGAGAAGCUGAUCUGUGAACCGCUGGCAAACCGACAACUAUUCCAGAUUAUAGACACACCGUACCUGGUUCAUCCUGCCAAGAGGAACUUCCUUCCUGGGAUGCUGUUUCAGAAUCCAAACAUUGACUUGACUUUGGGAAUCAUGUACAGGGAGUGCUAUGAGAACAACGGUCUGUAUCAGGCUCUGCAGCUGGAGACCAUGUUCAACAUCAACUCCUUCCUCAACAGAACUGUGUACAACAAGGACCUGGCCAAAGUGUUUGAGAAUGUGCAGGUGGACCUGCAGGACAUCGCCCUGCUGGAGCAGGCCGGCAGAGACAACCUCAUCAACUUCGCCAACGCUGGAAUCGGACAGAUCGAUUAUGAGACGUACCUGUCUGAGUUAGCCAAAGGGGUUACUCUCGUGGAUCUCCUCUCCUUCGCUUCUGACCUGGAGGCUCAGGCUGACCAGCUGCCCCGUGGCGCUCUGGAGAACGCGCUGAGAGGACACGCCAGCAGCAUCAGACAGAUUCACAGAGAAGUGGUGGUGCCCAUGGAGCAAGCAAUGAAAUAUGUCCGAGCGCGGAGCACGCUGAGCCAGAGCAUCAAACAGCUGCAGAGGACGUCCAACGACCUGCCGGUGAAGGUCAACAACAUCCUGAGUGCCAUUGAUGCAGCAGAGUACCUCAUCACUCACAACGCCUCCCAUGUGGUGAAGCAGGAAGCAAAGGGCUACAUGCAGAGCUUAGUGGGAUACUUCAAACAGUACACAGAAUGGGUCAAAAACUCUUUAACUGCAGAGGUGGCUCAGUGUAAACCCAUCAGUAACAUUGUUGACAGCAUCGAGAUCGUUGGGUGCAGCUUCGUAGUCGAUUCAGUGAACACGUUCUGGUUCGGUCUGGGAGGCGCCUGCAUCUUCAUGAUCCCCAGUAUCAUCUUCUCCAUCAAACUGUCCAAGUAUUACAGAAGGAUGGACACAGAAGACGUCUUUGAAGAUAGCUCCCCCUAUAACGACACUCUGUUCCCUCGGGCCUCUGCCCCCCCGAGCUACUCCGACUGGUGACCCACAGGAACGUUCUCCCUUUUGAAAGAGUGGACAAGAGAGCUGGAACUGAGCUUCCCCUUGUGGAUCACCGGAAUUUCCAGCUUUUCUUUGAUCAUGUAACACUUCCAGUGACAAAAGGGAAGAAUGAGACCAAUCAAAGAACUGUGUGGUGAGGACGUCCCACCCCCCCAUCAACCCUUCAAGCCAUUUGACAAGGACCUCUAACACCAGCCAACUGUAAUUUAUCUCCUACACACCAGCGUCAGUCCCACAAGCACAACAACAGUCCUGCCAGUGUUUCAUACUUAAUCAAACGUCAGAAUUUUUUUUCUGAGUAGUUAGUUUGACAGAUAGAGAAUGAAUUUGUUCUUACAUUGUUACAGUUUUAACUUGGUGACACAUGUACAUUUUUUACACUUUCAAAACUUUUGAAAGUUUUAUAUAUUUUUGGUAAUGUUUGUUUUAUAAAAUGUAAGUAGCUUUUUUUUGUAGGAGUAGCUCCAUUUUCUUUUCUUUUUCUUUUCUCUGCUUGGUGAAUGUUUGUAACGCAGCUUGCAUCGUUUCGCCUCUCCAGGUUUACACUGACCAGAUUGAUUCUCAAGGAAUUUUACAUUUUGAUAAAGACACGUCUUCACAUUUUUGCCAAAUGUUUGAUGAGAAAACACCACUCCUAGAUAUCUAUGUUGAAUACCAGCUGCCAAUUAGCUUAGCUUAGCAUGUGCGCAAAGAGUCUAUGGUCAUGCUAGCGGUCGGGCUUUAAGCUAAUGUAAAUGCUAACAAGCUCACAGCUGCUAUGUUUACCGUGUUCACCAUCUUUGUUUUACCUGUUAGCAUGCUAACAUUUGCUAAUUAGCACUAAGCAGAGUCAGUUGGAGUUAAACCAAAGUACUUGACUAAUAUUAUUUUGACCUGAUGAUGGUGCAAGAUGAAAAGUUACGUAACCAAAGCAGCAUGAAUGUUAUCUAUCCAAGAGUUAUCGAUAUAUUUUAGUCUGGACCAAAGUGGUGAGCUAACAGUCUAACGUAACAGUUAACGUGACUAAAGCGUCAAUUUGGAUCAACAGGGUUUGUUUUUGUACGUAUUAAAGAAACGAGGGAAAGUGUUAAUUUGGUCGAUUUUGUUACCACGUUCGCGGGGGGGCCAGGUCAACUCCUCUGCCCCCGGUCUUUAUGCUUCGCUAGGCUAACCGUCUGUAGCUUGAUAUUUGGCUCCAAACUGUACAUGAAAGUAAUAUUGAUCCUCUUAGCUAACUCUUGGCAUUGAAGCGACAAAGGUUAUUUCUUCGGUGGCCGAGAGACGCACUGCAAAUGAAGCAAAAAAAGAACUCAUGCAAAUUAAGAAAGCAACUUCAUCAAUUUGACGACACAUGAAGUUAUUGAAGUCUGCUACUCGUCAGUGUUGAUGGAACUUCACAAACCAUUGAGCUUUUGCGUUGAGCUCUCAGCUACCGUAUAUUUCCCUCAAAACACAGAACAAGGAAACUGGCUCAGUUUUCCAAUCUUUGAGAAAAGAGUUAAUCCUGGUCCAUGCUACUGCAAGAGGCGACACGUUACAAGCUAUACACACACACACACACACACACACACACACACACACACACACACAAUGCAGCCGGAGUUUAUGGCGAGGGCGCAAAUUUGUGAAUAAAAACUUCCGUCCAAUAA